UGGUGGAGUGAUUUGUCUGGUUAAUUCCGAUAACGAACGAGACCCCGUCCUACUUACUAGACCGAGGAUCCUCUCGUUCUCGCUGUCUUCUUAGAGGGACAACUUGCUUAUACCUUGAACUACAUGAAAUGGGGCAAUAACA
rnacentral:rRNA from 1 species